CCUACGGGAGGCAGCAGUAGGGAAUCUUCCACAAUGGGCGAAAGCCUGAUGGAGCAACGCCGCGUGAGUGAUGAGGGCCUUCGGGUUGUAAAACUCUGUCAUUCGGGACGAACCGGAGUCUGAGGAAAUGCAGACUCUCUGACGGUACCGGAGGAGGAAGCCCCGGCUAACUACGUGCCAGCAGCCGCGGUAAUACGUAGGGGGCAAGCGUUGUCCGGAUUCACUGGGCGUAAAGCGCGCGCAGGCGGUGAUGUAAGUCUGAGGUGAAAACCCGAAGCUCAACUUCGGGACUGCCUUGGAUACUGCGUCACUUGAGGAUAGGAGAGGCAAGGGGAAUUCCACGUGUAGCGGUGAAAUGCGUAGAGAUGUGGAGGAACACCUGUGGCGAAGGCGCCUUGCUGGCCUAUUCUGACGCUGAGGCGCGAAAGCGUGGGGAGCAAACAGGAUUAGAUACCCUGGUAGUCCACGCUGUAAACGAUGAGUGCUAGGUGUAGGUGGGCUCAUACCCAUCUGUGCCGAAGCUAACGCAUUAAGCACUCCGCCCUGGGGGAGGUACGGUCGCGAGACGAGAACGACGAAAGGAAGUUAGACGGCGNGAGACGNGGCCGACGGACGACGACGAGGGAGGUUAGGG
rnacentral:rRNA from 1 species